ACACUGGGACUGAGACACGGCCCAGACUCCUCCGGGAGGCAGCAGUGAGGAAUUUUCCGCAAUGGGCGAAAGCCUGACCAAGCAAUACCGCGUGAGGGAAUAAGGAUUUUGGUCUGUAAACCUCUCUUCUCAAGAAAGAAGUUCUGACGGUACUUGAGGAAUAAGCAUCGGCUAACUCCGUGCCAGCAGCCGCGGUAAUACAGGGGAUGCAAGCGUUAUCCGGAAUCAUUGGGCGUAAAGCGCCUGUAGGUUGUUUAAUAAGUCUGUUGUUAAAGACUAGGGCCUAACCCUGGAAAAGCAAUGGAAACUACUAGACUUGAGUAUGGCAGGGGUAGGGGGAAUUUCUAGUGUAGCGGUGAAAUGCGUAGAUAUUAGAAAGAACACCAGUGGCGAAAGCGCCCUACUGGACCAUCACUGACACUGAGAGGCGAAAGCUAGGGGAGCAAAAGGGAUUAGAUACCCCUGUAGUCCUAGCCGUAAACGAUGGAUACUAGAUGUUGUGCUUUUUUGUGCAGUGUCGCAGCUAACGCGUUAAGUAUCCCGCCUGGGGAGUA
rnacentral:rRNA from 1 species